rnacentral:lncRNA from 1 species
GCCGUCGGGAGGUGGAGCCGGGCGCUGCCUAGACGCCCCCGGAGGGGCCCCGGGGUGGGGGUGCCCGGGGCUGGGCCCGGUCACUCCUCUCUCAGAUGGGGAGACUCCAGGAAUAGCUCCCGAUAACCGCAGGAGCCCUGAGCUCCGCCAUUCUUUCUCUUACGGCUUCUCUUGACUCGGCGUCCGCACUGGCAAAGGGUCGGUAACGGCAUCCUCUUCUCCUGCGUCACAAGCUUGUGGUGAAUUGCAGAAAAAGGUUGAAAAAAAGUGCAGCAUGAGAAAACCCAGC